rnacentral:lncRNA from 1 species
AUGAUGCUGCGGUUGUACUUGUUGUUGACGAUGUUGUUUUUGUUGUUGAUGCUGUGCUUGGGUUUUUUGUUGUUGCUUCAAUGGUCGGUGUUGCUUCGAUGGCUGGUGCUGUUGAUGGUGUUGCUUCGAUGGUCGGUGCUGUUGACAGUGGUGUUGAUGGUGUUGCUUCGAUGGUCGGUGCUGUUGGCAGUGGUGUUGAUGGUGUUGCUUCGAUGGUCGGUGCUGUUGGCAGUGGUGUUAAUGGUGUUGCUUCGAUGGUCAGUGGUGUUGAUGGUGUUGCUUCGAUGGUCGGUGGUGUUGAUGGUGUUGCUUCGAUGGUCGGUGCUGUUGAUGGUGUUGCUUCGAUGGUCGGUGCUGUUGAUGGUGGUGGAUUGAGUAAACACAAGAGUUUGUAGCCAUUUUUUUUCAUGUCUUAAUUAUGUUAGCGGUCAUAAAAAUUACAUUUUUGGGAAAAUUCCAGACUGUUUCCAAAUUAAUUAUUUAAAAUUCAAUAUCACUACUUAUAUUUAGUUUGAAUAGAAGGGUAAUUUAAAAGGCUGGUGUAAGUACUACAGAAACUGCUGAUCUCCUGGGAUUUGCCUCUAUACCCGUCUGUAGGGAUCACAGAAAGGACCCUUCUGUGAAGGGCUGCACACUGACCAGUACAUUUAAAACAUGACACUGUUUUACAAAUGACUGUUGUCCACUCGAAGAGACCAGAUCCUUAAAAAACUAGUACUUUCUGUUACAAAAUGUUUAUUUAGCUAUUUUACAACAGUUUGGUGUUCUCAUACGCAAAACAAAGAAAAGCUUGAAUUGUCAUUGAAAUGUUAAUUUGAACAGAUAAUACUUAGUAAAUAUGAUCAAAUAUGUAUUUUGUCCAUGUGUGAAACUCAAAGCUUCUUUAAAGUCAGAAUUUUUCUACGAAAAAAACCCCUUGGAGGGGAUCGUCCCGACAGAAUCGCCCCGUAUUCAGAGAAAAUAUUUCAUAUUGAGGUGAAAAGGAACACAGUUUGUCCCGUACUUCAGCUAGAAUUUGCCGGCAUGUUUUGUACCUUAGGCUUUUGGUUUUUAUGGGCCGAUGGGGCUUUAUUUCUUUUCUUUUUUUAACGGUAUAAAUGAAUGGUGGUGGAUUGGCCAGUUGGUCAUGAUCGACUCUGGGCUGGACCAAUUACAGCCGAGGAGGUCGAACUUUAAAGUUGAGGUGAAAAGAAACGCAAUUUGUCCCGUUCUACGUCUGCUAGAAAGUUGCUAAUUAAAUCAUGAAACUGAUCAAUGAUCAGCUGAUCAGCUUUUCUCUCUGCGCCAGAAAGAGGAAACCAGCGGAUGUCGCGUUAAACAACAGCAGCACGUUUAAGCUUGAUCCGCUGUUGUUAGAAUUUAUUUAAUAUUACUUUCUAGUAUCAGCUGAUGUUUGCUGGAGCCACAGCUGUAAAGCUGCUGGUCAUGAUGCCGGUUUGGAUAUGUGGUGAGAGGGAAACAUGAAGCUGAAACCAGGAGAUGUCCUUACUGAAUCAUCAGAGCUGAACAGGUGAUGGAGAAACAGCUUUACCUUUUAGGUGACAUGAAUGAGUUGAAGGGAAGUUAUGAACUGUUUCUGAGGGACAAAUAACACCAGGAUCCUUUUCUACAUAGCUGACAGCUGGUAACUGUGCAGGGGCGGCUCUAGCAAAGUGUUGCCAGGGGGCCAGGUAGGGCAUUAACAGGGAAAGGGGGGCACAAAGAAAUACUUUUCUUUCUUAUUCUCAUUUAAAAUAUCUAGCUUUUAUUAAAUAAUUAUCUCAAUCAUACAACAAACGAUCGAUAGAUGGAUACAUAUAUACCAUCAAAACAGUGUACAUCACUGUCACAACAUUUGUUUUCAUUCAAAGGCUUUAUGAUUUUUCCUAUAAUGGUGGGUCGGUCUCUAGUCAAAAUGCCCGGGACGAUUUUUUGUCCCAGUCCAGCUCUGUAUGCAGCUCAUCUGCAGUCUGGUGUUGCCUACAUCUUCCUACUCGGAAGGCAGAAUUUCUGAGUUCUGAGUACAAUCAAAAACACCACGACUGCAGUUUUCGUGUUGAAUGUAAGAAGCGCACAUGACGCUGUGACGUAGGCUAGAAUCAUGGCAGCGGUCAACGACGGUCCAGGAGUGGGAUUUCUCUCGUGGAAAUGUGCACAUUACCUUUUCCUUUCUAUUGGUAGGUGGCACAGUGCACUUGUGGCAAGUAAGCAAGCUAGAAGACUGGCAAUCUGGCUGGGUAUCCAGUUAUGGAAGCAACACAUUAACAAGAGAAUUCUGAGUAAAACCAAAGUUACUUUCCCUAGUAACUAGUUACUUUGAAAGUAACGAGUAACUUGAAGUAACUGAGUUACUUUUGAUAGAAAUAACUAGUAAUCUAAGUUACUAAUUUAAAGUAACUUACCCAACACUGAAUGUAAGUCUUUUCACAGCGUAUUAGCAUAUUUUACUUAAGCUUAAUAAUCAUAAUAAUGCUUUGAUCUCUUAAAAUAAAUGAAAGAAUUCCUCUCUAUUAAAACUGUCAGUCUGCCCCAGGGCAGCUGUGGCUACAACUGUAGCUUGCCUUCACCGGGGUAUGAAUGUGAGAGUGAAUGAAUAGUGGUAUUGUAAAGCGCUUUGAGGGGUCCCGAAAAGCGCGAUAUAAAUGCAAUCCAUCAUUAUUAUUAUUAUUAUUGUUAUUAUUAUUAAAACUGUUUAUGUUGUUCUCCACCUUUCCCCUAAACACACCAGACCCUUGUGCUGCAGGAUUAACCCGAGUGUCCCAGUCCUGGACCAUUUUUUUUAAACCAGCAGGAUCCCAGGGCUGAUUUUUGUUGAUGUAUUAUAAAUAUUCUUGACGUAUUGUUAUUGUUAUUUACUUUAUUCUCAUUAAAUAAAUAUCCAUUUAAAAUUGGUCAAAGUUAGCGUUAUGUUCAUACAUGAUAAAGAUAAUGUAAAGGUAAAUAAAAGUCCAGUGACAAUUACUGUUACUGUUUGUUUUAAUCAAUUUAUUCAUAACAUAAAACUUUUAAACUAAUUUAACUCGUAUAAAAACGUAACCAGUGUUGGGAAGGUUACUUUUAAAAUGUAUUCCACUACAGAUUACAUGCUCCAAAAUGUAUUUUGCAACGUAUUCCCUUACAUUACUCAAUGAGAGUAACGUAUUCUGAAUACUUUGGAUUACUUAAUAUAUUAUCAAGCUUUUUACAACUACAUGAAUGUACUAUUGCUGUGUGAUUUAUUAAUUUUACUAAAGGAUACUCGCCAUAGCAAUUAUGAAUACCACCUUUUUAAACGGUAAUGGUAACGGCACAUAUUUUGUAUUUUAAAUGUCUAAUGCCGGUAAAUGCUCUCCGUUACUCCCCAACACUGCUUGGCAGUUUCCA